GACGAACGCUGGCGGCGUGCCUAAUACAUGCAAGUAGAACGCUGAAGAGAGGAGCUUGCUCUUCUUGGAUGAGUUGCGAACGGGUGAGUAACGCGUAGGUAACCUGCCUUGUAGCGGGGGAUAACUAUUGGAAACGAUAGCUAAUACCGCAUAACAAUGGAUGACACAUGUCAUUUAUUUGAAAGGGGCAAUUGCUCCACUACAAGAUGGACCUGCGUUGUAUUAGCUAGUAGGUGAGGUAAUGGCUCACCUAGGCGACGAUACAUAGCCGACCUGAGAGGGGGGUCGGCCACACUGGGACUGAGACACGGCCCAGACUCCUACGGGAGGCAGCAGUAGGGAAUCUUCGGCAAUGGGGGCAACCCUGACCGAGCAACGCCGCGUGAGUGAAGAAGGUUUUCGGAUCGUAAAGCUCUGUUGUAAGUCAAGAACGGGUGUGAGAGUGGAAAGUUCACACUGUGACGGUAGCUUACCAGAAAGGGACGGCUAACUACGUG
rnacentral:rRNA from 1 species